GGUCCUGUGGAGCAGCUUGGAGUGCUCGCCACCCUGUCAAGGUGGAGGCCGCGGGUUCA
rnacentral:tRNA from 1 species